AACCGUGUACGUACAAGCAGUGGGAGCACCCUUUGGGGUGUGACUGCGUACCUUUUGUAUAAUGGGUCAGCGACUUAUAUUCUGUAGCAAGGUUAACCGAAUAGGGGAGCCGGAGGGAAACCGAGUCUUAAUUGGGCGUUAAGUUGCAGGGUAUAGACCCGAAACCCGGUGAUCUAGCCAUGGGCAGGUUGAAGGUUGGGUAACACUAACUGGAGGACCGAACCGACUAAUGUUGAAAAAUUAGCGGAUGACCUGUGGCUGGGGGUGAAAGGCCAAUCAAACCGGGAGAUAGCUGGUUCUCCCCGAAAGCUAUUUAGGUAGCGCCUCGUGAAUUCAUCUCCGGGGGUAGAGCACUGUUUCGGCUAGGGGGCCAUCCCGGCUUACCAACCCGAUGCAAACUGCGAAUACCGGAGAAUGUUAUCACGGGAGACACACGGCGGGUGCUAACGUCCGUCGUGAAGAGGGAAACAACCCAGACCGCCAGCUAAGGUCCCAAAGUCAUGGUUAAGUGGGAAACGAUGUGGGAAGGCCCAGACAGCCAGGAUGUUGGCUUAGAAGCAGCCAUCAUUUAAAGAAAGCGUAAUAGCUCACUGGUCGAGUCGGCCUGCGCGGAAGAUGUAACGGGGCUAAACCAUGCACCGAAGCUGCGGCAGCGACGCUGAUGCGUUGUUGGGUAGGGGAGCGUUCUGUAAGCCUGCGAAGGUGGCCUGUGAGGGUUGCUGGAGGUAUCAGAAGUGCGAAUGCUGACAUAAGUAACGAUAAAGCGGGUGAAAAGCCCGCUCGCCGGAAGACCAAGGGUUCCUGUCCAACGUUAAUCGGGGCAGGGUGAGUCGACCCCUAAGGCGAGGCCGAAAGGCGUAGUCGAUGGGAAACGGGUUAAUAUUCCCGUACUUGGUGUUACUGCGAAGGGGGGACGGAGAAGGCUAUGUUGGCCGGGCGACGGUU
rnacentral:rRNA from 1 species